rnacentral:lncRNA from 1 species
AUCUUGAAAACGUGGACUUGGAGAAAGAAGCAUAAUUAUUCAACUUCUUUCAUUAUUCAUCUUCCUUCUCUCUCAACUCCAAAAAUCUAAAUUCUAGAUCUCUCAUAGCAACCUUCUCCAAAUCUUCAAUAGAGUUAGAGAUCUUACUUAAUUUGGAAGCUUCUUGAUUUGGUGAGUCUUUAUUGCUUAUGUUUAUUGUUUUGAAUACAUGUUUAACUUGAAACUCUAGUUGUAUGAAACAUGUUAUAGAAUUCUCUGGAUAGUAUGUAUAUUUUGUAUUAAAUCAUGGCCAUCGAAAAUGAUUUUUGAGAAUAACCUUAUCUUUUUAUAAACUAGACAUCUAGGGAUUAUUGAAUAAAUUUUGUUUCAUAAGAUUUGACUUUAUUUUCGAUUUUAUAUAGAUUUUUGAAUCUGACACUGUUGCACUAGAAAACUGCUGUUCCAGCAGAAUGACCAAAUUCACAAACUUAUUUAUACCGUAAAAUGAACUCGAAAAAUUCUGAAUUUUUAAACUGAAGUUAAUAUAUCUGUCUAGUAUUUCCAGUUUUAAUUUCAUAAUUUUAUGAUUAGUACAUAAUUUCAUAAAAAUCUUGGAACCAAUACUGUUCUGUUAAGGCACUGUGAGACAGUUUUGAGUCUAUCAAGAAACAAAUAGUUUUGAAAAUGUUUUUGGUAUCGGAUCCUCCUGAAAAUUUUAGAGGAGAUACCUAUGGAUAUCUAGAACAUAUUUGCAUGAUAUCAUAUCGUUUUGAUGAUUAGAGUAAGAGUUAAAAUCUACAGAAUCAGACUUGUACCGGCAUGAAUUAGAAAAUCAGGUUCUCGGAAUAAGUUGUUAUUAAUUAUGUCUUGUAUCUUUUUAAGGUGUUGGAGAUAUUUAAGGUUUUUAAAAGCUUAGAGGUGUGUUUCAAUUAUUACCUUAUCGAAGUAAGUAACUCUAUUCCUAGUGUACUGGAUAUGUAUAAUAAUUUUGAUAAUUUAAUAUUAUUACAAGUACAUAUUUUUCUUAGUUCUUUGUAACCAAAUUAAUUUAUGUAAUGUUUUCAAAUCUGAAAAUUAUAUUAUUUUUAUGGUUUUAACAAAUAUUAUAAAUGCUUUAAAUGUGUAAUUUAUUUUUACUAAAUAAUUAUAUCUUCGAAAUUGUCUAUAAAAUGUUGGAAUGGAAAUUGUUCUGCAAGCCUAAAUCAUUGUUAUGAUCUUUUAUGAAUUCAAUAUGAAUGUUUUAUUCGUAUUUGAUUUAAGAUUAUCUAUGAAAAUCAUGCGAGGGCCACCUCUUGAGACUAUAUGGGGGCCACCUCUCGAGGGCUAAAUGCCACGAAGUGCCACGUGUAAUUUGCAACAAAUGAAAAAUGAAUUUAAAUGUUUUGGCUCAUUGUCUGUGGUUAUUAUGAUUCCUAUUCUGCUCGUAUUAUACGAUAUAAAUAUAUAUAUGUUCUGUACCAGUAUUGGGUUUCUAUUCUGAGUGUGCACACGAUAUUUUGAUUCUAGCCGGGUCACCGGGACUAUAAGUGACACUAUGUGACAUGAGCUAAUUUUUUGUUUUCUGUGAAUGUGUUAUAUGAUUUGUUUUCGAAAGUAACUAUGCUUUGAUAUUUUGAAUUAUUCUGAAUUAAUGUUAUGUUAUCAUGAUAUGUCGCUUUAUGAAAUUUAUGAAUUAUGAUAUAUGUUUUACUAAAAAGAAGGCUUGCAAUAUUUUUGGAAUCGAUAGGCCUAAUGAGUUAGGAAUAAUUUUACUUACAGAGUUGAUGGCUCACCCCUCGUCAUUACUUUUUACAGAUUAAAUGACUUGUUCAUAAGUGUGGUUAUCUUUGGAGCUAGAGAUUUAUUUACUUGCUAAAUUGAAUAAAGGAAGAAUGAAUUUCUUUAGCCUUUAAGUUUGUUGGCCUUUUGAAUUUGUAUUUGGAGAGUUUGAGGCAUUUGUUACUUUUAUGACUUGGGAGAAAAUGUCUAAUAUUUGAUUUGUGAAAUUUUUGAUCUGUUUAAUAAAAUUUGAGGUAUUUUAGUUCGUAAUUUUUGUAUAAGGAUUUUUAUUUUGUUAGUAACCUCAUAUUACCACGUGCUCCGCACGUGUUAAUUUUGGGUGUUACAUAAAUUGUUUUCAAUUGAUUGAGUACUAAAUUUGUUUACAUAAAAAUACUGUGUUGCAGUCACAUAAGAGCUUUUAAAGUCUCCUUUACUAUAUAAAUUAGUAUUUAACA